rnacentral:rRNA from 1 species
AUUGAACGCUGGCGGCAGGCCUAACACAUGCAAGUCGAGCGGAUGAAGGGAGCUUGCUCCUGGAUUCAGCGGCGGGCGGGUGAGUAAUGCCUAGGAAUCUGCCUGGUAGUGGGGGAUAACGUCCGGAAACGGGCGCUAAUACCGCAUACGUCCUGAGGGAGAAAGUGGGGGAUCUUCGGACCUCACGCUAUCAGAUGAGCCUAGGUCGGAUUAGCUAGUUGGUGGGGUAAAGGCCUACCAAGGCGACGAUCCGUAACUGGUCUGAGAGGAUGAUCAGUCAAACUGGAACUGAGACACGGUCCAGACUCCUACGGGAGGCAGCAGUGGGGAAUAUUGGACAAUGGGCGAAAGCCUGAUCCAGCCAUGCCGCGUGUGUGAAGAAGGUCUUCGGAUUGUAAAGCACUUUAAGUUGGGAGGAAGGGCAGUAAGUUAAUACCUUGCUGUUUGGACGUUACCAACAGAAUAAGCACCGGCUAACUUCGU